rnacentral:lncRNA from 1 species
GGAGGGGAAAAACAAAAGAAUUGGUGUGGUGCUUGCUGAAUGCUGAUGGCGUAGCGGAUUUGGGGAAAGAGAUUAGGGGGCCAGGGGUUUGUUGAACUUGAACGUUAGUACCGGUAGGGAGAGCUCCACUAGCGUUAAGCAAAGUCGAGACGGGACCCGGCGGACCAGAAAACGUACAUCCGCUGCUCUUCAACGGCUUGCCAGUAUCAUCAGAUUCCCUUGUUCAGAGGGGCAAUGUCC